AUUGAACGCUGGCGGCAGGCCUUACACAUGCAAGUCGAGCGCGCGGCGGACGGGUGAGUAAUGUCUGGGAAACUGCCUGAUGGAGGGGGAUAACUACUGGAAACGGUAGCUAAUACCGCAUACCAUCAGAUGUGCCCAGAUGGGAUGAGCUAGUAGGGGGGGUAACGGCUCACCUAGGCGACGAUCCCUAGCUGGUCUGUGAGGAUGACCAGCCACACUGGAACUGAGACACGGUCCAGACUCCUACGGGAGGCAGCAGUGGGGAAUUUUGCACAAUGGGCGCAAGCCUGAUGCAGCCAUGCCGCGUGUAUGAAGAAGGCCUUCGGGUUGUAAAGCACUUUUAGCGGAGAGGCGUUACCCGCAGAAGAAGCACCGGCUAACUCCGUGCCAGCAGCCGCGGUAAUUC
rnacentral:rRNA from 1 species